UCAUCAGCAGCCUUGUGGAGAUUUUUUUAGCUUGCAGAUGCUUCAGGUUCAAAAGCUCCUAAAAGGCUAAUAUUUCUAUUAUUGUUGACAGAAAAUAAUAUGAAAACGUCCACAAUCUAAAGGUCAUUGUCUGUGCCAGCUAGCUAGCUUGCGUUGUUAGUGACACAAACAUAGGACUGGAAUAGGCUUACAUAACACUAGAGGGAAAUAUGCUAAUUCAAUAUUAGUCAAUAGUAAUGGUAAUAGUAAUAACUGAUUUAUGUUGCUAACCCAGUAAAGUCUAACUGUAACAUUCCAAGAAGGUUUUACAAAACGUUCUACAAAAAACUAUUAUUGUAGAGUUUUUAUAGCUGCUGUUGUGAUUUGGUGCUAUAUGAAUAAAUGAUUUGAAUGACAGUUACAAAGUUACAAACAGCUGUCUUGUUACAAUACCAGCACACAAAUUGCACUGUAAGCCAUCAUUCGGAGCCCUAUUUCUUGUCUUUCAUACGCUGACUUUGCUUUAAGAUCUGCUUUAGAAGUUAGCUAGUUGCUAACUCUAUCGGUUGUCUGCUAGUGGGUACACAUAUAGCUCUUUCCCUAAAAAGAGAAAACAGCCGUGGCUGAAACCAAGUUUCUGAGAGCAGUAAGUGAAGCACAGCUGACUGCAGGUUCUACUUUGGUAAAAGCACGUCAACGCAGAAAUGCCAUAACGGCCACCAGAUGGCGAUAGCUGUAGUUGCAAAAAGACUUGACCUCUGUUAAACACUUUCUUGAUAACUUUUUUUUGGCCUUUAUUGAAUACAAAAAUAAUGUCUCUUUUGGAAAUAUAAGUAAUCCUAUGCUUCAACAAGGAGGGUUCAACUUGGUUCUACUUGCUCAUUGGCUAAUGAUGCUGAUAAGCCAAUGAGCAAGCAGACCCGCCCCUCCUCAUGACAUGUUAUUGUUGUCUGUUUGUUUUUUUCAAACCACGGUGGCCAUGGUAAAACAAACUAAUCCUAAGGCUUCAAAACAAGAGCUCAGAAACCAGUGGACGACGUCAGUGUCCAUCUAUUAUAUCGUUUGUUCUGUGCACCUCUAAGAAAGACAGGGGAGUUAUUUAAUAGUUAUAAACUAAAUGGAGUAAAUCACUCGCCACUCACCCCUGAAGCUCGUCGUCAGAUGGCGUGUACUUUGCGGUGAUGUCAGCCAGCUCUCCAAAGAUCUGGCCACUGUAGAUAGUGAGGCAGGAGAGCAGGAUGAGCUCCUGCCAGGUGGAGCUGAGCAGGCAGGUGUAGUCCUCUAUGGAGAGCUCACAGAA